UUAAAUAUGAUUUGGAUGUUAAGAUAUAUCUUGUUUUUGUUGUCUCAUUAUGAAUCCUGUCAGAACUGGUCUUCUCAGCAAUGAAGGGAGGAUUGAAAAAUAGAAGUUCAACUAGAUGUUCAUUUGGUAGGUGUGGUUAAUAAAAUUGGAUCUUAAUUAGUUUAAAUUAUGCAUUUCCUCUACUUCUUUGUAUAAUUCUUUUACCAAUUAAUUGUUUGUGCUUCUUAAAUUUAUGGGUCUUGAGCACCG
rnacentral:misc_RNA from 1 species